rnacentral:lncRNA from 10 species
UUUCCCAAAUUUUAAGCUGAAACUAGGAUGCAUCAAAAUUAUCUUGGUCAUAAUCUUGUCAAUGAUGUCAUCUAAAGGCCACCAGGAACACACCUGUAGCCCAGCAAAGUUGAGGCCAUCGACUGGCUCAUCACAACAAGGAAGGCUGUGCACCACUGGGACCCAGCAGCAGCUCAGCAGCAGCAGUGAGAGGGCCUUGGGAAAGACUUGGAGGGUUUGGCUUAUACAAGACCAGAUUACAGAGGGGUAUUGAUUUGCCUUGCCCCCGCCCCCACCAUCACAGUGUGUCCCUGUCCAGUGUUGGUGCUGUGUGGCAUUGCUUGUGUCCAUAGGAGUCCAUCAAGGCAGAGCGGCAGAGCGGCAAGCAGAGCGGCAAGGCAGUUCAACCCAAUGGAAAUGGAUUGAAAGAGUGAAAGUCACUGGUCUCAAAGAAUCUACGGAAUUUAGCAUUUUGAAAAUCACAGAGCAAUUUUGGGUAGGUAUUCACAUGCACUAAAAAACCAGGCAAACAUCUGACUCCCAGGAUAAAGUGACUGAGAGCAGUAGAAGACUUGUUGAGCCUUAAGGAAUAAGAGGAAAAUUAUGUUAUGAAGUGCAGGAACAGCACAGACCCAGACGAGGGGAUGCAGCCCGGAGCCAGUAACCCGGCGCCUCCUCCUCCCCAGGGCGCAGCGCUGGCUGCUCCCCGGAUACCGUGAUCACACGUCCCAGGUCCUGAGAGCGCCUCAUAGGUAGACAGUUCUUUGGGACUUUUGGGACGCAGCACUUGAAGAGAGGUUUACCUAAACUUUCCUCCUGGGAGCCUGUCAUCAUUUGAAAGUAACAGAAGAAAGCUGUCAGGCUGAGGAAAGUUUCAACAGGCACUUGGUGAGAAUGGGAAGCAUCCAUUCAUUGGGAAAUCACGGGGACAGAGGAGGAAUUCACGGGAUCAGAGCACUGAGAAACUCCAGAGGCUUCUGGUUCACCGCCCUGAUUCCACAGAUGUGGGUCAGAGGCAGAGAUGGAAGUUGGAAUGGACAAGCCUGCCCUCUCCUCAGCUCUCCAUGGCUCUGUCCUCAGGCUGUUUCUGCAAUUUGACAUGAGGCCUGGCCCCAGGGAAACCAGUGGGGCCUCAUCUCCUCCCUGUGCUGCUCUGAGGUGGAGCCUUCUCAGGGUCAGUCCAGCUCUGGAGCCCCUCUCCAGCUCGGUCACCAAAGCUGUCUGGUCCCAGGGCAGUGUGGAGUGACAGGCACGCCAGCCAAUCCAAUCGGCCAUUUCAUACCCAAUGCAUGUGACUGAUAAAGAGAUAACACCCUGUCUCCAAGACACAGGCUUUACAUAAACAGCUUUAAUGACUUCUUCACUUAGGGACAAGACUCCUUAGUGGUGGAACCUCAGGCAUCCAUGCAGGAUGUAAGAAAGCUCCCGUAUAUACAUGAACUGAGAAGUGUGUAGAAGAGUAAAUACUGUAAUAGGUAAUAAAAUGUAUGUAUUUUUAUUUAUGUGCU